UCGAAUCCGUAACGGUUAGCAGUCAGGCAAUGGAUCAGCUACAGACGAUGUUCGAACAUUUAUUAUUCGAUAAUUAUUUAAGUGUCGUUUGUAAUUAUUAUCGUGAUUCAUGAUCGAUCUAUUGUUUAAUUUCUAUCAGUGAUUAAAUUGUGUGCAGUUUAGUGUCCAAUGUGUGAAUAGUGAUGAUACUGAAAUUAGCCGGCGUUUAAAAAUUUUUUUAAAAACGAUAAAUUAAACAAAAAAAAUAUUUCAAAGAAUUGCAUCUAUAGUUUUUUAAAUUUUCUACAUAAGCAUUUUUUUUUUUUUUUUUUUUAAAUUAAAUCGUUGAAAAAAAAAUUCGAAAAUUUUUAAUUGCCUGCUAACUUCAGGAUCAUGAAUAGUGAGUAGUGAAAAAUAAUUAAGUGGUGAGUGAUAAAGUGAAGUGAUUGUGAUUUUGUGGGAGCUGAUGUUGAAUCGCAGAUUUUUUCUGUCCCUGAAUAUUUAGAAAAUGAUCGAACUCGGAAGAUUUUCUUAACUGGAAAUGAAAGGACUGCUACUGCUACUGCUGUUACUGCUAGUGCUGCUGCUACUGCAGUAUACUGAUUGCCCGGCGUAUUGGUCGAAUUAUUCAAACGUAUCAGAAGCAUUCACUCAUGCGAAUACUCUCAUCAUCAUCAACAAUUACUCACCCGGUGCAGAUGUGAGUCCGUAAAAUAUAUAGAGGAGACGAUAUGGAUGAAGCUCAAGUGUAAGAGUACGAGAGCACCCCAGUUAUUUGUCACGAGUUCAACAGCGAGCGAAACGAAGAAUUGAUACACAUGUGGUAAUAAUGUAUGGAGUGAGUGUAUCGUACAUAAAGUCUACAGGACGUAUAGACAGAUAAUUACAUAGAGCUGCAGUACAACAGAGGGUGGAUAUGGCGGUAAGGUCGGGCGGGACCAAGUUGUUAUCUCGGACUUAACCGCCUACGAUAGAUACAGAGCAGACUUAUUUUCUAUUGUCUAUGCAUCGGGAACUGCAUCGCUCGUCCUGGGCUCGGCCGAGAAAAAAUAAAUUCGAAAAAAUUCGAGGCUCAAGAAUUACGAUAAUAAAAAAAAGAUAU